rnacentral:rRNA from 1 species
GUCUAUGGCUAUACCACCUGAACACACCAAAUCCCAUCUGAUCUUGGAAGCUAUGCAGGGUCAGGCCUGAUAAGUACUUGGAUGAGAUAUUUUGGUGGGUUUUAGCUG